rnacentral:tRNA from 1 species
GGUAGCGUGGCCGAGCGGUCUAAGGCGCUGGUUCAAGGCACCAGUCAUUUCGAUGGCGUGGGUUCGAAUCCCACCGCUGCCA